CAGAUAUUUAAUUAGACAAAAAUCGAAUUCCAAAAGUCAUAACUGCAAUUUCUCGUCUAAAAAAAAAGAAAAUGUCCAAAAAAAUGCAAGGAAAAAUCAAAGUCGGAGUACCUCGACCAGUGAAAUUUCCCUACAAUUUUUGUCUCCGGCCUCCAGAUGAACAACUCUUAAUUAAAAAUAGAAAAAUAAACUACCUUCAACUAUACCGACAGAUCUACGGGAUUACGAAUCCAAUAAAGACCCUAUACUCAUUAUGCCAAAAAGACAUAAAAACGACUGUCUCUCCCAACUUCUCACAAUGAGAUACUUACUAUUGGGUUUCCAUAUGGUCCAUGCCCUUAGAAGAAUCGUCAUGUAAGUACUACCCACACACAUUGAGAAGGUAUGACUCUGGUUGAUCAUAUUGCCCAAUUUAUCUCCCGACAUCUCUUACAAAAUCGAAAGAUAAUUAUUAUAUUUCACAAUAAUGAAGGAUCUAACCUAAUUUUCCGACUACAUGGACCUAUAAAAGGGACUUUUAAACCAUAUAACAAGGGAUGGACGAUUGUACACCUCAACUUUAGCAGAAUCAACUAGAACUAGGAUUUUCGGGCUUAUAAGUUGUAAUUCUUGUUCUAACAAAUCAAUAAAACAUUAUGAUUGAUACUUGUUUUUGUUCAAUUGAUUAUUUACGGUUUCCAUAGAAUUACGAAGAGUUCUGUGUUAUUUUACCUUAAUAAACGGAUCAACAAAAUACAUAAUCAAAAUUUUAUAUGAUCAAAUAAAAUAAUUUGAGCCAUAUAUACUAUGAAAAAUAUAUAAAACACUUAUUUAUAUUGCCUUUUUAGUUCACUUCAAAUAAAAAAAGUUUAAUUGUUGUUUACGUAGUAUAUGUUUCGAAAAUGACAUAUCGGCACUAAAAAUUAAGAAUUUGGAAAGACUAAACCCAAAAUGCAUAAUCUACAUAUAAUUAGGUGUUCAAUUUUUUUUCUAAUCUAUAUUUGUUCUGUGACUUUCAGAGACCAUCUGCGGUUUGGAAUUCUAACACCCUUCAAUCGAAUAGACAGAGCCCAUUAAAUCAUUAAUCAUCAAGAAUAGACCUCUUGUACUUUGCAAGGUAAAGAAUCAGUAGACGCUCUGCUUUGUUUUUGGUUGUGUUGUAACGAUUAUACACAGCUUCCUUUGAACAUAAUAAUUUCUUGGACUUCGUGGUGAUGUCAGAUCUUUAUUCCCUGUAAAGGUAUUAUAAUCUUUAAUUUUCCUUUUAAUAUAAUAUUUUUUCAUGAUCUAUGAAAGAUGAAUUCGAGAUCAAAAUAUUUAGCUCAAAAGUAGGAUGAAAUGAGUUGGUAAAUUGGCUUCAUUGUUAAAGUUAUGAUUAAAUAUGAAGAUUAUAGACAAUUGUUAACUAGAGAAAUCGGAUUGACUUGAUUGUCGAAGGUCUGUUAAAAUUCUCGAUUUAUAAAUACAUAAUAUUUGAAGACGUAAGUGCUUUUCAGACACCAUGUAUUAGUAAUAUAGACCAGCCCCUCUUUAUGGAAAAACAGGGGGACAGGGGACGGAAAUGAUAUACAAAAGUUCAGGCGGAGACAUGGUGAAGGAGAGAGAGAUGAGAAUCAGUUGUAACAUCAGUGAGCAAAGAGAAGGCACACUAAUCAGUUAGUCAAAGUAAAAUAACCAAGUACCAGUAAUCAAGCUGCAAAAGAAGACAACAACCUAGAAUGGACAACAGACUUAUAAUACGGUUAGUAAUUAUCUAAACUAUUGUAACUAGUUUGUAAUGCGAAAGGAAAGUAGGAAAUUCUAUAAUAAGUUAUUAGAUUGGAGAACCCUGCCUUAAGUUUAGAUGUUUAGUUUUUACUUGCCUGAAUGAUGCAUAACAGUUUUUAUGAUAAUGAUAAUCUUAUAUAAGAUCAGUUUUAAUUCGAUAUGGUUUUAAAUUACCAAAGAGAAUUCAUACAUUUGUCCAAAUGAAAAGAAUUACAAUCUUGUUGAAACAAAUGUUUGAAAAAAGAAAAGCAAAUGUAGUUUGCAUAUAUAAAAAUAAACUUUCUGAAUCAGCAAGCAUUCUUCCACCAUAAAUUUGCAAAGAUCAAAACAUCAAGUUAAUUUAAAUUAUUAUUCUUUAUUGGAUAUACAAUACAAACGCAUAAUUUUUUUUAAAACACAUCCAAACAUAAACCGUAUAAGACAUCUAAACAAACAUAAAAUACAUACCUUAUGACCUAUGUUGCUGUUAAAGGUUGUCGAAAACUUCUUUGAAAACCACAUUCAUAUUUUUUUCUGAGGUUUGCCACCUUCGUCUGAAAUCAAAAUUUUCAGCUGGUGGGCAAACAUUUAGAAACCAUCUCAAAGGUCCAAACGAUGUGUUCUGUCUCCACAAAUGUAUGCACUUAAUUUAAACUCGCCAGUUGUUCUUAUAAGGCCUGAGUUUUGAGAGAGGAGUAAAAGUAGUCAUCGCAGACAUUUUAGGAGGUUCUGCUUAAAAUGAUAUGGUUUUCACGUUAUUGGUGAGGAGACAUAUUUUUUUUUUAACACUGAAUACUUCAAUAUAACAAAGUCCUGGAGGACAACGAGGGAGAACCCCUGAGAUACAUAAUAUUCCAGAGCCGAAGGAAAAAUAAAGCUAAACUUAUGCAAGAUAAAAGAGUACCAGUAGGUAUUUAAAGGUUGUAAUCAACGAUAUCAGAAAGGAGGUUAAUAAUGGCUAAAGAGAAAGCCAGUACCCCUUUCAGCAGCAGAGUUUAGAUGCUAUUUGCAUCCUCUUCCAGCAUCUUGUGAAGCCAACAAGGACCUCCUGCAGCAACAUAUGACUGUGGUCGUGGCCCAAGGAUUGCGCUCUCUGCUAUGCUCUUAGCUAUUCUGUUCAUGUGGGCUGAGACAUGGAAGACUGCCCACUUCUCAAAGCGAUUAAGGAGCUCCAAUAUCUUCAGUAUCAAGGGUGAUAGAUCAGGAAACCGGAGGGGGUUUAACAAAGCUUCUCGCACUUCUAUAGAGGAGACAUAUAUAUAGCUAGUUAGGAAAGGGUAGGGUAAAUGCCAUCUAAUUAUGAAAGAUUUUGUUAGUUGUGAUCUUAUAGCAUUAAAAAGCGAAUGUACUAUUCGAUUAGAUUCCAAAAUUCAUUUGUUUAUUAAAAAAUUGUUGUAAUAACAUGAUUACUGGUAUUUAAUGAGUAUAUAUUUUACGUGAUUUGCAUGAUUUGAAUAAAAAAAAGAAUCUUGUGGUAGUUGAUUGAUAUCAUAAUUGUUGUGAUGAUUGCUUAGAUAUAAGAAAAUAUAUUGCAAGGUAAUUUCGUUUAGGAAACUAAGAAAUGAUUAUUUUUUUAUUUUGAACUUGAUAAUUUAUAGUGCUUAAUGCGUAUUUUUUUUACAUUUCACUGAGUUUAGAUUACAUAAUUUCUAGUAAUAAUGAUAUUUAAUAAGAUAAUAUCUUUUUCUUCAGGCUUUCUGAAGGUAUAUAAAAAUAUAUGGGAAUAAUGAUAUAUAUUAUAUUAUUAUGUUGUAUGUAAAUGUAAUCAAAUGAAUUUUGUUAAGUUCUAAUAUACUGAUUUUGAUUCUGCAGAGAAAGAUUAACUGAGGUAUCAUCACAAUGGAAUUCGAUGGUUUAGUAAAAUUAUGAAAAUAUAUGUAGGAAUGUAUCUAUUGACUUAUCUGAUUCUGUAGACCAAGAGGAAUCCAGGUAUAACGAUACGCAGGAAAGUAGCUAUUAUAUUUAGAUGGUCUUGAAAUGUUAGUUUAUUAAUGGUUUAGUGAUUUUAUGGUUCAUAACUAAGAACAAACUACUGUGUCUAGUAAUGUUAUGGUUUACAAUGGUUUAAUAAUUAAUGGUUGUGUUUUGUAUGCAAGUGGCAUGAGAUGGUAAAUUUUGAGCAAAACUCAAAGCUAUUUCCUAUUUGUACUCAUGUUUUAGUAAUUUAGAUUUAAACUCUUCAUUAA